UCGAGAAUUUUUCACAAUGGGCGCAAGCCUGAUGGAGCGACGCCGCGUGGGGGAUGAAUGGCUUCGGCCCGUAAACCCCUGUCAUUUGCGAUCAAACCUCGUUAUUUAAAAGAUGACGAGCUGAUGGUAGCGGAAGAGGAAGGGACGGCUAACUCUGUGCCAGCAGCCGCGGUAAUACAGAGGUCCCAAGCGUUGUUCGGAUUCACUGGGCGUAAAGGGUGCGUAGGUGGUGGGGUAAGUCGGAUGUGAAAGCUCGGAGCUCAACUCCGAAAUGGCAUUGGAAACUACCCUGCUGGAGGGUCGGAGGGGGGACUGGAAUUCUCGGUGUAGCAGUGAAAUGCGUAGAUAUCGAGAGGAACACCAGUGGCGAAGGCGAGUCCCUGGACGACGCCUGACACUGAGGCACGAAAGCUAGGGGAGCAAACAGGAUUAGAUACCCUGGUAGUCCUAGCCGUAAACGGUGCACGUUUGCUGUAAAGGAAUCGACCCCUUUUGUGGCGAAGCUAAC
rnacentral:rRNA from 1 species